GAUGAACGCUAGCGGCAGGCUUAACACAUGCAAGUCGAGGGGCAGCAUGACACGGAGAUUCGUCGAAGUGUUGAUGGCGACCGGCGCAAGGGUGCGUAACGCGUGAGCAACUUGCCCGUUUCUGGGGAAUAACCGGUGGAAACGCCGACUAAUACCCCAUAGUAUAACGAAGAGGCAUCUUUUGUUAUUAAAGAACUUCGGAAACGGAUAGGCUCGCGUGACAUUAGCUAGAUGGCGGGGUAACGGCCCACCAUGGCGACGAUGUCUAGGGGUUCUGAGAGGAAGGUCCCCCACACUGGAACUGAGACACGGUCCAGACUCCUACGGGAGGCAGCAGUGAGGAAUAUUGGUCAAUGGUCUGACGACUGAACCAGCCAUGCCGCGUGAAGGUGACGGCCCUAUGGGUCUUAAACUUCUUUUGUUUGGGAAUAAAUGAUACUACGUGUAGUAUUUUGCAUGUACCUUACGAAUAAGCAUCGGCUAAUUCCGUGCCAGCAGCCGC
rnacentral:rRNA from 1 species